rnacentral:rRNA from 1 species
UACAGAGGUCCCGAGCGUUGUUCGGAUUCAUUGGGCGUAAAGGGUGCGUAGGCGGUCUUCUAAGUUUGAUGUGAAAUCCCGGGGCUCAACCCUGGAAUUGCAUUGAAUACUGGAGGACUAGAGUACCGGAGAGGAAACUGGAAUUUACGGUGUAGCAGUGAAAUGCGUAGAGAUCGUAAGGAAGACCAGUGGCGAAGGCGAGUUUCUGGACGGUAACUGACGCUGAGGCACGAAGGCCCAGGGGAGCAAACGGG